ACCCCAUCCAGGAAUGUCCAGGACUACCCUAACAGGUAAUUUAAUAGGUAAACACUUUCAUAUCUAAAAGUUAAAUUCAUGUUCAAAAGGGCUCACGCGCACACACACACACAAAUUCCUUCUAAUGGUAAUAAUCUCCACUAGCAGAUUUAAAUGUUUCCUUUUUUUUUUUCAUGGUGACUCAAAGUAUACCCAAAAGGUACAAAAACUGUGGAAUGUAACAUGCUUCAGGGCCAGCACAGAAGCCAUUUCCUGGUCAUAACCUCUCUCAAAAGACUCCCAGCUGGAAUUUAGGGGCCUCAGCCAGCCAGCCUGGCCAUCUCUGCUCCCCUACAGGAGCAGGGGUUAAAAGCAGAAGGAGUCUGAAACCUGAUUCCCCAGUUUAGUAACUGGUCAGCCUCAGGCAAUACACUUGACCUCUCUCCACCGCAAUUUCCUCAUCUUUAAAAUGGGCAUAAAAUAAGAUUAUUUAGAAACAGGGUUGUUGUGAAAAUUAUAUGACAAUGCAUUUAAACUCCUCACUACGUGAUAAUCCUUAGUUUUGAUUAGUUAUCUCUCCAUUUGGGUCCAUAGGGUCUCAAAUUGUCAUAAAGUGCAUAGGCAAGGCUCUGUGCUGGUCACUUAAAUCUUGUUACAGCUAAUGAGGAUAAAAGGGUAUUAAUGACCUAAUGUAGUUAUAUGACUUUUCUAGAGAAGCAACCUAUAGAGAAUACAAAAGAGAGACACAGCCAAAGCCUCAUCAAGGGAGAGACGGAAGGGACCCGCCUCUGCUGGGCAGCAGCCUGGACAUGGAGUGUUUACUGGGUGAGGUCCUUGUGCUGGGUUACAGCACCAGCAUAUAUCUUGGAAGCCUCCCCUCGUUCCAGUAAACCCUGGUCCCCAAGAAGUGUUCAAUAAACAUUUGUUCAAGUUGUUGGAUUGGGAAAGGUUGAGAGAGAGAAAAAAAGUCAGGUUCAAAGCAUUUCCUAUCACUUUUGUUAUCUUCUUGUCUGUUUCCCUUUUAAAUCUAAAGGUCCUUUGUGGACACAUUCACCAUGCAGGUACGUAGAGAGGCAUCUUACUCUCCUUAGAGAGACUGCUGAGAGAACACACAUCUAAAUUGGAGUUCAAAAUAAUAACAGCCACAUAAACGAAACAAUACAACAAAACCUUAAUUUGGACAAAAUUCCAGGCAGGCCUCCCUCCUUCCACAUCUUCAUUCAUAGAGGUUCUCUUGAAAUGGCAAGUUAGAUAAACCAGUACUUCUAUGCAAAAAGAGAUGUUCAGAGUCCUUCAAUAAAAGGAACUUCACAAUAAGAAGAAAGAGAUACGUUAUUAUGUGCACAGAAGGGCCACACACCUAGAUGGGCUGCCCCAGCUCCCACGGACAUGUCCCUUGCGGCUUUGCUCCACAGCAUCUUCUGUUGGGCAGACCCCAUCAAAACAUGAACCAAGCACCAAGGGCCACAACGUCAACUGACAAACACAAAGAGCAAAAAGAAAUCCCCAGCACAGCUUCUGUGAGGGCAGAGGAGAAAUCCCGAGGUAACCUCUGAGGUUACUGACAGCUUAACUUAAUAGACUCUUUCUAUUGUGCAGAGUAAAUAUUUUGGGUUAGGAGAAAUUCUUCUAAACCUUAAAAGUAAGUUAAAGAAGCCCUUACUACUUCUCAUCUGAAAUUUGUGCAUGGUAUGUUUGUUAGUUGAUGGCUCUAAGUGAAAUCCAAAAGAAAAUUUCCUGUCACCUGUGGAGCAUGCUGAAUUGUGUGUUCCUAAGCUUCAACCUUUGUUAGCUUGAUAAUCAAAUGUCAUAUAAGUUUCAACAUUGAAAUUGGGCUUUUUACAGUCUUUUCACACCUUAUACUUUCUCUGUAACCUUCUGAUAAUGAUUUCCUCGUUGAAACAACCUCUUGUUUGUUGGAAUGAUCCUUUGGAUCAGAUAACCUCAUAAAGAAGUCAUUUUGAUAUUUCAGAAAUAAAAGCCCUUUGGACUGAGUCCAAGAGUCACUAUCACUUUAAAACAAAUUAGUUUUUGUGACAAGUCACAUAUUAAGAGUCUUGGGUGUUUUAACUUAGGUUCUGAAGAACACUCUAUCUCUGUUACUCAAAUGUCAGAAUCCUAAACUAAGACCAAUUCACUUUUUUGGCUCUGUCCUGUCUCUAGUAUGAAAAGACACAAUAUUUUGACAGCUGAGGCACAUUCUAUAUUUAUACUUCACACAAACAAGGUACCCUUACACAUUUUAUUACCACACAAAAUAAACCUUGAAAAACAUCUUCCUAUUCCAUACAUGUCACUUGGCCAUGAGGCAUUAUUCUUGUCUCCUUAUUCUUAUUGUUAGAACAAGUUGUAUUUUAACUAAACUUUCUUUUUUUCCUGGUUUAACAGUGAUUCAUUAGAUGUCUUCUUGCCCUGCACAAUGAGAGAGCAUCUCCCUUUCUGUAUGCCGCUCCUAAUUCCUGCACCCAGAGCUCUUCACAACCAGGAACAAUUUUUUUUUUUUUAAUUUUGAGACAGAGUAUACUGGAAGAACAUGCAAACAGAUAGGAAAGGGCCUUACCCAAAGUAUGCUCUUUUUGGAACACAUUUAUUGUUAGGAUGGUACAAACCUGCCUGAUAAUUUUUUAUCUAGACUGAACUCCAGUGAGGAUUUUGUUUUAUUUGGUUUGGUCUGUCUUUUUUUUUAUUAUUAUUCUUUUUCUUUUUCUGUCUCACAAAAACCAAGUGUUCUCCAGCAAUGAGGCAACGGAAAAAAUCAAUACUUGCCAUGUACCAUGUAACCAAUAGAAUAAGGGGAAUGAUUUAUGUAUGGAUGGAUGCAGCCUGAAUCAGCUGGGGCCUCGCACAGAGAGCCAGAAAGAGAGAGAGGGAGAGACAGAAAGAGAGAGAGAGAGAACAGAGGGAGGUGGGGGGAGAUCUGAACUGCGGUGAUUAUUUGUACAGUGUGGCCAGAUUUUUUUUUUUUUCCUGCAGCAAUAAUCCCCUUCUCCAGCACUGCAGGACAGAGGGAAAGCCUGCAAUCUGUGGACUAUAUGAUAGCUCAGCUCUCCCUCCUUUCCUCAUAGUCCCGAUGCCUUAUUCAUACUAAGGUACAGUGAGAAGGGGAAGAUGAUGUAUGAUGGCCUUCAGCCCUUCAACCUUCCAGUCAACUCCACCCUAAGAAAGGCUAGUGAUGGGUCGACAAGCACUAGUUGACAGAGAGUCAAAUUAUCAACAGGAUUAAAAAAAAAAAAAUGUUCCAGCACCGCUUUCCAAGAAGACCAGCAAGAAGGGCUUACAGAGAAGAACUGCUCUACACUCCAGGAGUUUCUGCUGGAAAUAUAGUUUGGUUAACUGGAAAUCCAGGGUGCCGCAGCAUUUAAAGGUAAAACAACAGAAACUCCUUACCAUCUUCACAUUUGGUUCCACUGCCUCAGUCAAGCUGUCCAGCUGCAGGUUAAUAAACAGAAAAUCUGGAGAUGGUCCAAAUAUAGUAAGGACCUUGAAGACCAAGCUCAAGGCUGCAGGUACCACAGCCAGAAGAAAUGUACUAGUGCCCUACAAGCAGGUAUGGGCUCCCCCCACAACUAAAGGAGGUGGGAAUGAAGAAGCACGAUCACAAGAAAGGUGCUGCUGAACUAUAAGACCUUGCUCAGGCAUAGAAGUACAGGCAACAUCAGAUGAACAUAUUCAAAGACAGAUGCCCAAAUCUGCACUUCAACCAAUUUUUCUGGUAGUGUGAGGUUUUGAAGCCCUCAUCCUGACUGUUUGCAUUUGCAUCUGUGUAAGUUAUGUGAACAUGUAGAUCCUCUCAGAAAACUGUCUAGUUCUAGCCACAACUUGUGGUUUUACUGUAUGGGUUGCUUCAUUCAUUCGAGCAGAAUUUUCCUCUUGUAAGAUCUAAAUG